UACGGAGGAGGCAAGCGUUAUCCGGAAUUAUUGGGCGUAAAGCGUCCGUAGAUGGUCGCUUCAAGUCUGCUGUCAAAGACCGGGGCUUAACCCCAGAAAGGCGGUGGAAACUGAACAGCUAGAGAGAGGUAGGGGUAGAGGGAAUUCCCAGUGUAGCGGUGAAAUGCGUAGAUAUUGGGAAGAACAUCAGUGGCGAAAGCGCUCUACUGGACCUUAUCUGACAUUGAGGGACGAAAGCUAGGGGAGCGAAUGGG
rnacentral:rRNA from 1 species